rnacentral:rRNA from 1 species
UACGGAAGGUGCAAGCGUUGUCCGGAUUGACUGGGUGUAAAGGGCGUGCAGGCGGAGGAGUAUGUCGGGAGUGAAAUCGUGCGGCUUAACCGUAUCAAUUGCUUCCGAAACUAUUCCCCUUGAGUGCAAGAGAGGCAGAUAGAAUUCCUGGUGUAGCGGUGGAAUGCGUAGAGAUCAGGAAGAAUACCGGGUGCGAAGGCGGUCUGCUGGCUUGUAACUGACGCUGAGGCGCGAAAGUGCGGGGAGCAAACAGG